rnacentral:lncRNA from 1 species
UAUAGCCCAGGGACAAAGGAGAGAGGAGAGGUCUUAUGAUACACCUGCUGGUUGGUUGGGGGUGCAUAAUUUCCCUAUGGGGUGGGGAGAAGAGUGGGCCAAAUACUUUUACUAAUAUGGGAUGGGAGAGAGUGGGCCAGGUUGAUGAAGAGGAGUGAGAGGGGGCUCCAGAGUUUCAUAACAGCUGCAGUAAAACUGGUGGGGUGAUAAGGGUCUGGUAGUUUUUAUGCUGGGCAGAGGCUCUUUGAGUUUAUCUCAUUGGAAUAGCCUUCAUGUCUCACAGUGCCCAUCUCAUUUUUCAAUAUUUACAUCAAAAGUCACCACCUCUUUGAAGUAUCUCCAGAUCUUCUGUUGUCAUAACUUGGCUUCUGUCCCCUGGUGCCAACUGGAAACAUGGAGACAGUGGUUUGAGCAAAGGAAAAAAAGAGUGUCUUUUACAGCUUUGUCAGGCAAAGGAGGCCACAGCGGGCUAAUGCCCUAAAGACGGUGCCCCCCUUUGGGAGAGAACAGGAAGUGGUCUUCUAGUUUGGGAAUGGAAAAUAGGGUCACAGGUAAGGAUCAGGGUGGAGGCAAGCUUAAUUCUUCUUCAGAGCUGGGGGGAGGUUCCCAGGACUGGUCUGGUGGUCCUUGAGGCUAUUGCACCCUUGACCUUCUGUCUGGAACAAAGAAUGUUCAUCAAGUAGUUAACACCUUCCAUUUGGCGGGGGUUGCCGUUCUGCAGGAGAGCUCGAAGAUACUCUUCUGUGUAACCCUUGAGGGGGAAUCAGGAUCCUGCCCCAAGGCUGCACUGUUGUUUCUUGACUGCUUCUGCCUGGUCUCUGCUUCUCCUCCUUUGGAGCUCAGGGAAGGUCAGAGUGGCUGAAGCCCAUUCCCUACAGACAAGAAAUGGGGGGAAGGAGGGGGCACAGAAAGGCUUUUGUGCCCAGGAGCCCACCGGUCCUGCUUGGUUCCACUUCCUUCAUAGAGCCCCUUUCUCAGGUAAAAGGUAAAAGCAGACAAAAACAUUAACAACCCCUCUUGUUAACCAUCUCCCUGCCAUGUGAAGAUAUGAAGACACUUACAUGGUUGGCAUGUCUCAAAGUUCCUUCCAAAGUUCAUUUUCAUGGAGCACAGAAGCCCUGCCAUGUUGAACCCCAGAGGUUCGUGGGUGGGGAACCCUUCUUACUUUCCCAGCUGCGGCUCUCGCCUUCCGAUUCGGAAAGCUGAUGAUGAUGUGGACAGCGCUGUUGUACACUUGACUAGGGGGGUCUAAUCGGAGCUGUGGCCGCCAGCCUACGCCAGAGCCACAGCAACGCGGGAUCCGAGCCGCGUCUGCGACCUACACCACAGCUCACGGCAACGCCGGAUCAUUAACCCACUGAGCAAGGGCAGGGACCGAACCCGCAACCUCAUGGUUCCUAGUCGGAUUCGCCAACCCCUGCGCCACGACGGGACCUCCGAAAAAUACUAAAGCUCUUUUGCUGUCUGUGACAAAUACAACUUUUGGGCCUCAGGACUUGAUAAAUUUAAUCCAUCUUAAUAAAGCAGAUUAAACAUCCCCAGUCAGGGCAUGCUUUGCUCAUCUUCAGAUCUUCUGUUUACUGUCUCACAGAUCAUAGUUUUAAAAUGCCUACUGAAUGUCACGGUGUUGAAAGCAGUGACUUAUCAAGAGUCACAGAAUCAACUACACAGAAUUUUGUCAAUUGCCAUCUUGUCAGUUACACGGAAUCUUAUCCUUUGUUGAAGACUGUGGCAUUUUAAAUGCAGGUCAAUAAUGUUACUAUUUCAGCAUCUCAUGUAUGCCGUUUCCUUUAUACCCUAUUAGGUUUUACUCCAUACCUAUGCAUCUCCAUAACAUCAAACACACGUCCACGGGCUCCCUCGAUAAGAGGGUUUAUUCUGAGCAUUAGUGGAUUAUUGCAAGCAUCAGUCAAACUGUUGCUUAUCAAGGAAGUGUAGACAGCUCCCGGUGGUUGAUUCGAAGACCGAGUUCUUCUGUGUCCCUACAUUAUUUAAGCCGUCGAUAUCCUCAUUAAGAAAGUGCCUUCUAGUGCUUUGUGUGUGUAAGUUUCACCUAUUAUAAUGUGCUGGAGAAUUCAGACAUUUUUAGUAAAUGCCGAGAAGCUCUGAGGAGAUAGCGGGCUUUUUCUUCCUAGUGAAGCAAGGAUUCAGGGGAUUCGGGACAUUUGAUGUCAAAAUCCCUCCUCACGAGCCUAAUUCAGAUCAGCAGCUGCUGAAAGUCACUCUCAGCAGAUGGGUGCUGCCUCCAUGGAGUGAUUCAAUCUCUCAAUCUUUCCUAUUAUGAAGGUCUUAGCAGAGGGUCACACCUCGUAUCUAUUUUUGGUCCUUAGGAAAAUCCGCUGAAAAGAGUUUAGGAUUGAGAAGAAAUAGAGAAUGGAUGUAUUUUGUGCUUGAUCUAAAGACAGAGGAUGUGGUCACAGCAGCAGGAAAAUAAAGACAUCACCUGCUAUACGGCUGUGGGAGGGCAGCACCCACUGCUGGGUGGGGUUGGAUUCUGUUGGUCCAGUGUUUAUGCUUUCCUUGGUUUUGUUAGAGAUUGAGACACAUAUUCUUUUUUGUACUUUUGCUAGAGAAUAAAGCAUGAAUCCUCAAUUUAUUUCAUCUUAGAUUGUAUCACUUUUGUCAUUUCCUAGUACUGCUAGAACCUUAGAACCUCUGAGUUCCACAUAACCCCUCUGACUUUUGCAGUUAAUGCUGGCAUGCUGUUCUACGCAUGACUUAAAGUCUAUAAGGGAGCUCCCUGGCGGCCUAAUGAGUUAAGGAUCUGGCAUCAUCACUGCGGUGGCUCAGGUUGCUGCUGUGGUGCGGGUUCAGUCCCUGGCCCUGGACCUUCCACAAUCUGUGGAUGCAGCCAAAACAAUAAUAAUAAUAAUAAUAAUAAUAAUAAUGGUGUCUCUAAUACAUUCCCAACACAGAACUUAUACUUACCCAGGGAUUUAAUUUUAGGGUCCUUAAUUCUUCCUUCCGUUUUCAUUUAUUCAUCCGGGAUCAUUUCCUUCACCUUAAAAAAAAAAACACAGGCAAGAUUUAUGAUAGCAAAUUUCCUCCUUCUUGUUUGCCCAAAAACAUUUUUUAUUUCACUUUUGUUUUCGGGGGCUAUUCUCAUUGAGUCUGGAAUCCUGCGGUGAGUUACUUUCUUUCAGUACAUUUUAGUUUGUUGUUUUCUGACUUGCGGUGUUUCUGUUUAGAAGUCGGCUGCCAGACUCGUUGUUCCUCUGAAGGUAAUGUGUUGCUUAUUGUUUUUUUUUUUUUUUUUUUCCACUAGACUUUACAAACUUUUUUAUCCCUUUUUUGCACUCUUACAAUGAGAGCAGUAACUUGCCAUGACCUCAACCUCCUAGGCAGAAGGAGAAGUCCCUUGUUUUGUUUCUAAUAGAUCAGUUUGAAAUUGCGUAACUUCAGAAAAAUGAUAUCUUCAGGAAGUGUUGGGAAAAUAAUCGACUGAGAUGAUCAAUGAAAUAUUCUCUCCUAAGAAUAAAUCCAAAGAAGGAUUUUUCCGAGGUUGCUUUUCUCUGCUGAAUGUGUGCCAAGGAACAAACAGACAUUCAGCAUCCACGGAGGAAAUAAGGCUGAGGCUGAAGGCAGUCCACAGCAUCGACGGGGGGAGAAAACGGAGCAGCUAAGCUCCCCUGGUGAAAGUAACACCCAGACAUCAUUCGAGUCCCAACUGAAAAAGAAGGAACGAGGGGAAACGUAUGGGCCCCGGUCUUUAGCAUGUGUCAGAUCCCAGACACCAGUUGUUCGCUAAGCCGUAAGCGCUGUGGACUCGAGGAAGACAGACUCUGGAGCUAGCGUGGCUGUGUCUACCCCGCUCCAUGUGACUCUCGGCAAAUUACUCAACCUCUCUGUGCCUUGGCUUCUUCAUCUGCAAAAUGGGUUUAUAGAGUUCUGGGGAGGACUGUGUGACUGAAUAUUUGUAAAGGGUUUUAGACAAGUACUGACACACCUUUAGCACUCUCGAGUGGGGAUGACAUAACUAAUAUUUAUGCGCACUCUCUGCCCUGCUGUCUUGGCUCACUCCCCUGACAGCAGAGGCAAUGCGGCUCCAGCAGAGACUCCCAGCAGGAGCCUUCUGACUCCAGGUCACCCUGGUGCAGACCUGGAGCCGAGAGAAAAAUCCCCUUCUAAGGGUGCAUGCUGCUUGAGUGGCUCACUUUCUAUCCAUGGCUUCAGGCUGCUUCAGGGUUUGAACAACCGCAGCCCUGUUUUGCACACACACAAGGUUUUUUUUGUUGUUGUUAGGCUUUUUUUUUUUUUUUUUUUUUUUUCUGGUUGUCUAUAGAUUCUAUUUGAGGAAAUGCUUUCUGCUAACCACCAGUUCCAGAAACCUAGUUCUGUGCUUUGGAUAUGGGUUUGCUCUCACGGCUUCUGUGCUUAACAUCUCGUCUCAACAUUCUGCUCAGCGCUUUGGUUUCAGGCUUUAAAAUAUUCUGCAGAUUAAUGACAGGCGUGGGUGUCCAGGAGAAGGUGUGGGGUUUACCGUUGUCUGGAACCCUGGCUGCCUUUGUUGCUUUCAAGGGCCUGUCCUUACAUAAGCCAACGUGAUGCUCCGUUUGUUUCCUUCUUUGUCAUGAUGGAAGGGCAGGAAGUGACCCAGGAGCAAAGUAGUGGGUGCUUUCAGGGUGGGAGGAGCCAGCUUGUUUCGACUGUAUCCUCCCCAGCGUUCCCAUUCUCAUGUCCAGAAUCUCCAUCACACUCUCGCUCUCUUUUUUUUUAACCAACAUACUAACUGUAGAACUGACAGAAAAGGUGGUUUCUGCAGCGGGCAGCUGUUCCAGA